rnacentral:rRNA from 1 species
UGAGGAAUAUUGGGCAAUGCCCGCAAGGGUGACCCAGCAACGCCGCGUGGAGGAUGAAUGUCGUAAGAUUGUAAACUCCUGUUAGAGGGGAAGAAUAGUACCGGUUGGACCGGUAUAUGACUGUACCCUCAGAGAAAGCCCCGGCUAACUACGUGCCAGCAGCCGCGGUAAUACGUAGGGGGCAAGCGUUGUCCGGAUUUACUGGGAGUAAAGGGCGCGCAGGCGGGAUAAAAAGUCAGUGGUGAAAUCCUACAGCUUAACUGUAGAACUGCCUUUGAUACUUUUAUUCUUGAGUUCGGGAGAGAGAGACGGAAUUCCAGGUGUAGUGGUGAAAUACGUAGAUAUCUGGAAGAACACCAGUUGCGAAGGCGGUCUCUUGGUCCGACACUGACGCUGAGGCGCGAAAGCGUGGGGAGCAAACA